rnacentral:rRNA from 1 species
UACGUAGGGUGCAAGCGUUGUCCGGAAUUAUUGGGCGUAAAGAGCUCGUAGGCGGCUUGUCACGUCGGCUGUGAAAUCCCGAGGCUCAACCUCGGGUCUGCAGUCGAUACGGGCGGACUGGAGUUCGGCAGGGGAGACUGGAAUUCCUGGUGUAGCGGUGAAAUGCGCAGAUAUCAGGAGGAACACCGGUGGCGAAGGCGGGUCUCUGGGCCGAUACUGACGCUGAGGAGCGAAAGCGUGGGGAGCGAACAGG